rnacentral:rRNA from 1 species
GGCGGCACGCCUAACACAUGCAAGUCGAACGAAGUAGCAAUACUUAGUGGCAGACGGGUGAGUAACAUGUAGGUAUCUGCCCUUUGGCCUGGAAUAACACGAGGAAACUUGUGCUAAUACCGGAUAAGUCUUUACGGAGAAAGCUUUAUGCACCAUUGGAUGAGCCUGCACUUGAUUAGUUUGUUGGUGGGGUAAUGGCCUACCAAGACUGUGAUCAAUAGCUGAUUUGAGAGGAUGAUCAGCCACAUUGGGACUGAGACACGGCCCAAACUCCUACGGGAGGCAGCAGUGGGGAAUCUUGCACAAUGGAGGAAACUCUGAUGCAGCGAUGCCGCGUGAGUGAAGAAGGCCCUUGGGUUGUAAAGCUCUUUCGUCGGGGAAGAAAAUGACUGUACCCGAAUAAGAAGGUCCGGCUAACUUCGUGCCAGCAGCCGCGGUAAUACGAAGGGACCUAGCGUAGUUCGGAAUUACUGGGCUUAAAGAGUUCGUAGGUGGUUGAAAAAGUUAGUGGUGAAAUCCCAGAGCUUAACUCUGGAACUGCCAUUAAAACUUUUCAGCUAGAGUAUGAUAGAGGAAAGCAGAAUUUCUAGUGUAGAGGUGAAAUUCGUAGAUAUUAGAAAGAAUACCAAUUGCGAAGGCAGCUUUCUGGAUCAUUACUGACACUGAGGAACGAAAGCAUGGGUAGCGAAGAGGAUUAGAUACCCUCGUAGUCCAUGCCGUAAACGAUGUGUGUUAGACGUUGGAAAUUUAUUUUCAGUGUCGCAGCGAAAGCGAUAAACACACCGCCUGGGGAGUACGACCGC